rnacentral:rRNA from 1 species
GUCUUAGUACUCAGAGUUUGAUCCUGGCUCAGAUUGAACGCUGGCGGCAUGCCUUACACAUGCAAGUCGAACGGUAACGGACCUUCGGGUGCCGACGAGUGGCGAACGGGUGAGUAAUACAUCGGAACGUGCCCGAUCUGGGGGAUAGCGAGGCGAAAGCUUUGCUAAUACCGCAUACGAUCUACGGAUGAAAGCAGGGGACCGCAAGGCCUUGCGCGGGCGGAGCGGCCGAUGGCAGAUUAGGUAGUUGGUGGGAUAAAAGCUUACCAAGCCGACGAUCUGUAGCUGGUCUGAGAGGAUGAUCAGCCACACUGGGACUGAGACACGGCCCAG